UAGGGAAUCUUCGGCAAUGGACGAAAGUCUGACCGAGCAACGCCGCGUGAGUGAAGAAGGUUUUCGGAUCGUAAAACUCUGUUGUUAGAGAAGAACAAGGACGUUAGUAACUGAACGUCCCCUGACGGUAUCUAACCAGAAAGCCACGGCUAACUACGUGCCAGCAGCCGCGGUAAUACGUAGGUGGCAAGCGCUGUCCGGAUUUAUUGGGCGUAAAGCGAGCGCAGGCGGGUUCUUAAGUCUGAUGUGAAAGCCCCCGGCUCAACCGGGGAGGGUCAUUGGAAACUGGGAGAAUAGAGUGCAGAAGAGGAGAGUGGAAUUCCAUGUGUAGCGGUGAAAUGCGUAGAUAUAUGGAGGAACACCAGUGGCGAAGGCGGCUCUCUGGUCUGUAACUGACGCUGAGGCGCGAAAGCGUGGGGAGCAAACAGG
rnacentral:rRNA from 1 species